AACCAUAGAAACCUGCGGAGUACCUGCGGAGGGAUCAUUACAUUCAGUAGCCUAGCUACUUGUUUACACCCUUGUUUUUUUGCGCACUUCAUUGUAUCCCUCGGCGGGCUUGCUCGCCGGUUGGACAACAUUUAUAACCUUUUUUAAUCUUCAAUCAGCGUCUGAAUUAUAUUUAAUAAUUACAACUUUUAACAAUGGAUCU
rnacentral:misc_RNA from 1 species